UGGUGGAGUGAUUUGUCUGGUUAAUUCCGAUAACGAACGAGACCCCGUCCUACUUACUAGACCGAGGAUCCUCUCGUUCUCGCUGUCUUCUUAGAGGGACAACUGCUUAUACCUAGAACUACAUGAAAUGGGGCAAUAACA
rnacentral:rRNA from 1 species